rnacentral:rRNA from 1 species
CCUAAAGUAGGUGGUAUGCUCCACCUAAGGCUAAAUAUAACUGUGAGACCGAUAGCAAACAAGUACCGUGAGGGAAAGUUGCAAAGAACUUUGAAGAGAGAGUUCAAUAGGACGUGAAACCGCUUGCAGGGAAACAGAUGGACCCACGAAGUCCUGUUGGGUAUGAGAUUCAGUGUUGAUCAAUGGUAUGUGUUGAUGCAGUUCAUCUCUUCUCGCUUCGGUGAGUUGAGUUGCUGUUCAGCACAUAUUAAGCCAUUGAACAGCAUGCAUUUCUCAUUAUCCACGCUGGAGCUCUGACUCCUCAUGAACGGUUGAUCGUGUACUGCAAUAGUGUACAGAGGGUGUUUAACUACGGUUCUACAUCACUGUUGCAUUAUGGCAUUGCGUCAACUUGAAGUGAGGAGGUGAAUUGCACACAGUCUAACUGUGUGUAUGAUCAGGUUGUGUGGUGUAUAAUGUGCGACACAGAGUGAGUAGAUAGCGAGAUCAUUCGUCUCUUGUAGAUGAAUCCUCGUUACACUGCUCAUUCACGAUGUGUUCACUUAUGCAUCACUUACAAGCAAUCCAGAGUAAGUAGGUCGGUCAUCCAUCUGA